UGUUAUUUAAAAAUAAAUGUGUUUAGAAUAUACUUUAACAACUGUUGUAUUACUUUUAUAGGGUUGUCAUACAGUGAUACUUGAUUGGUUUAUUACAAAUAGUGCUGUGUUGGUAGGAGUAGCUGGCGGUAUAGCUUGCUUUGGGGUAGGUUUGACAUAUAUUUUCUUUUAUGUAAAGCAAAGUAGAAGUUUCAUCUCUUUAAAGUUAAAACUAAUAAAUAUAAGGUUUUACCAUUGGAACAAGCAAAUGUAUGUGAUUGUUGAUAAAUCAAAAGAGCUUCCUAAAAAAACCCGUAACAAAUUGUACAAUAUUAUCAUGGUUAUAAUUUGAAUCUAAACAUAUUACAAAAUUAUUCCUUCUAUGAAUAUGUGUUACAAAAUAGAUUUAAACUGAUGACCAAUAAUCUGUGGUUUUUUUUUUAUCUAGAGGUACAAAUUUAAUAUUUUACACACUUCUUUUAUCAUGACUGGGACUAUAAAAUAUCCCUGUAAAAUCUGUUACAAAAAAGUCAUGAACAACUUUUGUACCGAUACAUAUUGACACCGUAUAUUAAGUUAAAUGCGAUUAUCACUAUAUACAAGUCAAAAUCAUAUUACCUGGAAUUCCAUGGGAUUGGAUAGAAUAUGCUAUGCACUUACAUUUUAGCCUUUAUCUUUAUCUUUAUUUGUCAUGUUAUUUUUAACAUGAAAAACAUGUCACUAUAAUGUAUGCAUGUAGUUUAAACUCGUUUUUAAAAUUAUUUAUUUAAAAAUAUUCCAGCCUCAGUAUAUAGACAUAUCAGUGUUUUAAAAAAAAUCUUACAUUUUUCAGAUUCUUGGAAUAAUAUUUGCGUCUAUUUUGUGCCGGAACCGGACAGAAUAUUAUGAUUGGGAAUGAUAAAUGUUAGCAGUGUAUUCACUGUUAAGUUUAUUCUAUUGUGAGGAAUUUUCUUUGACGUUUGCUGCUGGAAUUAACAUUGGGCCGAAAUUUUGUACGACGAUAUCAUCUGCAGCAAACAAUUGAUGCUAUGCAAAUGGUAUUCUUAUGAAAAUAUGUGAAGAACAACAUGUUGUGCAAGACAUUCUAAUUCAAUCGUUUGGUUAUAUAUGUUAUACAAAAUGUCAACAUAUACUUAUCGAAUAUUAAUACUCAACAAGCAUUAUUCAUUGAGCAUCAUGUAGUACAUUAUAUACUUUUAGUAUCGAAACUUAAUGUAAUAUGUGUUAUUGUGUAAUGCCAAUAGAAGGAAGGUGUCUUGUGUUUAAUUCUGAAUCGUCGGUUAAUAACAGAUUGUCUAUAUAAAACAUAUUGUUUUGGUUAUUGCUUUACAAUGUUUUUGGUUGGAUUGGCCUUUAUAUGUAAUCUAUCUAGUAGGCUCAACUGAUUUUUUUCCAAAAUUCUUUUUAUUUGAAAAUCAAAAUAUUUAUGUUUUUUUAGAACUACAAAUGUUAUGCAUUUUAUCAAUAAUUUAUUUCAUAAAUAUCAUAAUAGGUCCGAGUAUUAAAAACAUAGAUAAUAAUAUUUUCUUAAAAGGUUAUGAAUAAAACAAUAUCUCAAUACUGUUGGUCAACUUGUCUACUUACGAACAAAAUUAUACACACAAUACCCAUAAUGAUAUCCUUACAUAAAUUAUAUGUUGUAUCAACAUUAUUAGUUGAGUUGAAUAAAGUACGUUAAUGAUUAAAAAUGAUACAGAUUAUACGCAGAUGAGACAAGAUAUCAAUUUGCCACAAAAGCAAAAGGUAUGAAGUUAUCAACCUAUGGUAUUCAGUAAUAGACAAUUGCGUAUACAAUAUAAUAAGUUCAACUUGAAAAGUUGUAUAUAUAUCUAAUCGUGAAAAUAUCAUGACGUCAACUAGUAGAGCGAAUUAAGAAAUGUGUUUUUUUUUAAAUUGGUUGUUAAAAAAAUAAUUCUUUGCCUAUUUUGUUUGACUGUCAACGCCCAUAAUAGUUGGACACAAAUUGUAUGAUUCAUAUUGUAUCAAUUUUCAAAAUAAAUGCAUCUACUUUGUUCGGAAUCAGUUCGUAAAACGAUUGAAUUUUCAUUUGACACUAUUACUAGUAUUUAUAAUGGCUUUGAUUCCUUCAUAAAUUUUUAUAGAGGUUUCUUAAUUCAGAAACAGUCUGUAGAAGGAUUUUGGUUUUACUGCUUUGUAUUGUAGCAAUUUUAUAGAUUUUUUAAGUACAUGCAGCACCCUUGUUGGCUUUGAAUAAUAUUGUUUUGCAGCAUUUUUCAUAUACAUGUACAUAUAUCAUUUUCAUCAAACCAGAUUCAUAUAGUUUUCAGGUUUGCUAUGCUAGGCUCUGAUUUAUUUUCAAUAAAUGUUUGAAAUACGG
rnacentral:lncRNA from 1 species